rnacentral:rRNA from 1 species
UCCAGAGGGGGCAAGCGUUAUUCGGAAUUAUUGGGCGUAAAGGGCGCGUAGGCGGCUUGGCAAGUGGAAGGUGAAAUCCCUCGGCUUAACCGAGGAACUGCCCUCCAAACUGCUUCGCUUGAGACCGGGAGAGGUGAGUGGAAUUCCCAGUGUAGCGGUGAAAUGCGUAGAUAUUGGGAGGAACACCAGGGGCGAAGGCGGCUCACUGGACCGGUACUGACGCUGAUGCGCGAAAGCGUGGGGAGCAAACGGG